UCGCUGUAGUUGCCCUGCUGCUUAGAAUCCUGACUGUAUUACACUAUAUGUGUCCCUCCAUACUCACCACUAUACGUCUUCCUGCUGCUCAUCAUGGCUGCACUGCUGCACUGGCUGCUUCUCUGCACAGGCUCUACUGAGGAUAUUAACACAUCACUUGGACUUACUAUGGCUGUUCUGGAGGACAACUCGUCCCAGUUACUGGUGUGCGGCCCAACUCUACAGAAAACUUAUGGGAAGAGCAUCUAUGUACUUGGACGAUCAGCUAGACAGUGACUUGAGACAACAGAAAAUACUUCCUGCCUCCCUACCAGGUAC